AAGUCGUAACAAGGUUUCCGUAGGUGAACCUGCGGAAGGAUCAUUAAUCACGAUUUCCAAUCGUACAAACCUAACGCGCACUUGUUUCGUACCCCAAGUCUGUCCAUAGCCGCAAAGCAGCAGGGUUGAGGUAGUGUGAGGUGUCUUUUCUCUCUCGGGAGGGAAGGCGCCUCGCUCUGCUGUCCGCAUCGGUCCCUUCGGGGCGUCGGUGGGGCUUUCACAGACUACGCUACUGCGUUCUCUGGAGCUUCUCUUCGGAGAGCUCCAGCUGGGCGCUAUUUUUUACCCUUUUUCAACCCUAUUUGUAACCAUUUGUACUAAAAUUUAUACACAGUUUCGUAAGAAACAAAAGAACAACUCUUAGCAACGGAUAUCUAGGCUCUC
rnacentral:misc_RNA from 1 species